AUGGCCGCAAAUGGAGUGCCCCCUACUGCUCUCGAUAAAGAACAGAUAUUUGGAAUGGCUGAAAAAGAGAUGGAGUAUAGAGUCGAAUUGUUCAAUAAGAUGACUCAGACCUGUUUCAACAAGUGUGUUGACAAUAAGUACAAGGAGUCUGAGCUAAAUAUGGGUGAAAAUAGUUGCAUUGACCGCUGUGUUUCCAAAUACUGGCAUGUGACUAAUCUAAUUGGUCAGCUGCUUGGUACUGGGAAGCCUCAAUGA